rnacentral:ncRNA from 2 species
GGGUCCGUCGGCAUCGUGCCGCCGGAGGACAACUUCGGAUGGUCGGGCCGCCAUCC